rnacentral:misc_RNA from 1 species
CUUAGCAGGCAACAUCUCUACUGUGCUAGAAUUUACAUUUGUAUUACUAGCAGCUCAUAUGAGUUCACAGGUCAAAUAGAGGUGGCCCUCUUCAGGGUUAAGAUAUGAUCGAGUUGAUGCUGAAAUAGCUUUGAGGAAUUGGAACCUGCGGAAGGAUCAUUAAAGAGUCAAUGACAGUUGGGGCAACCUAGCUUGUUAUAACACUCCACCCUCUGUUUAUUUUACCUUUGUUGCUUUGGCAGGUCCGUCUUAGGACCACCGGCUUUCGCUGGUCAGCACCUGCCAGAGGACCUAAAACUCAUAAUAAUAAUAUUGUCUGAAUACUAUAUAAUAGUUAAAACUUUCAACAACGGAUCUCUUGGUUCU